rnacentral:rRNA from 1 species
UACGUAGGGUGCAAGCGUUGUCCGGAAUUACUGGGCGUAAAGAGCUCGUAGGCGGUUUGUCGCGUCGUCCGUGAAAACUUGGGGCUCAACCCCAAGCUUGCGGGCGAUACGGGCAGACUUGAGUACUGCAGGGGAGACUGGAAUUCCUGGUGUAGCGGUGAAAUGCGCAGAUAUCAGGAGGAACACCGGUGGCGAAGGCGGGUCUCUGGGCAGUAACUGACGCUGAGGAGCGAAAGCGUGGGUAGCGAACAGG